rnacentral:rRNA from 1 species
CCGGGCGCACGGGUGAGUAACACGUAUCCAACCUGCCGUCUACUCUUGGACAGCCUUCUGAAAGGAAAGAUUAAUACAAGAUGGCAUCAUGAGUCCGCAUGUUCACAUGAUUAAAGGUAUUCCGGUAGACGAUGGGGAUGCGUUCCAUUAGAUAGUAGGCGGGGUAACGGCCCACCUAGUCUUCGACGGAUAGGGGUUCUGAGAGGAAGGUCCCCCACAUUGGAACUGAGACACGGUCCAA